AUACGUAGGGGGCGAGCGUUAUCCGGAUUUAUUGGGCGUAAAGCGUGUGUAGGCGGUUUGUUAAGUUUAAGAUUAAAGCCUGGGGCUCAACUCCAGUUCGUCUUAAAAACUGGCAGACUAGAGUACGGUAGAGGCAAACGGAAUUUCUAGUGUAGCGGUGAAAUGCGUAGAUAUUAGAAGGAACACCAGUGGCGAAAGCGGUUUGCUGGGCCGUUACUGACGCUGAGGCACGAAAGCGUGGGGAGC
rnacentral:rRNA from 1 species